CCCUCCAUCGCCUCUGGAGUUCACGUGUCCCUGCUCUUAUCAGUGCUACCAUCGGCCACAAAUACAGCUCGGGUAUCCACUAAAACUCCAAGAACACAGGUAGAAUUCUUUAAAAGCUUAAUUUACGAGAACAGGAUUAAGGAAUAUCCGACAGGUGCAGUGGUAGCCUAUGGAGGCGGCUUGUCUUCUACUAGUGCUUGCUAUGCCGCGGAAAGGCCCAGAAUGUACUUUCUGCGGGAAGGAACGUUGAUCAACAUAAAACCCUCACCUACCGAUUGUAAGUUAGGAGUGCAUAAAAGGAGUGCUUCACACGGACCGUAGAUGCAACGGUGUCUGCAUAAAACAGUACAUCAGUGUCAAUGACAGUGAGGCCAUUUUUCGAUGUCUGGUCGUUUCCAGCAGCCAACCAGGAUUCUGAUAGUAACAGCAGUGCAAGUGUAACAAAAAUGAGGUUACAGAACAGGGCAGACGGUUAUCAAGUGUCUCCGCCAACGAUUGCAGCAUGUGCAGCAAAACCUGCUCGUUCCUGUCGGCGAUGAUGUCAUCUUCUGUUUCUGCAAACACGUGCGCGGGAGGCGUCCUGUAUGAUCUCCCCCAAAGCUGGAGGCCUCUCCGCUCAUGCCGAUGACUGGUAGCAUUGGUCCUAGUGUUCAACUAUAACUGAUACCUCAUCAAGUUUCGGUAGAGAAGAUUCCAGCAGCUUUUGGCAGUCAAAAUGUCACUAGAGGAGCUGAAAAACUGCCGAAAGAAGAGGGCAAAAGUGACUGCAGCACCCUGUGCCGAAGACUAUGUGAAGCAAAGUCAAAAAGGAGGCACCUAGCUAAAGGGUCCUCGAGAGCAAAGAAAAACGUGAGGAUCCCAUAAAGGAAUCUGUGCAGCAGACAUCACUGUGUGAUGCACACAAGUGACGCAGCAAGACGCAAAAGGAGUGCACAAUGGGCGUAGCAUUAUCAGUGGCAAACGAGAGCUCACGACAACUCACCACACUAUGUCAUGUCGGCAGACUGGUAGCCGGCAGCUCCUCUAGGGUCAUGCAGCUCCACAUAUGGCUCAGGACGUUUUUAUAAAUUGAAUUGUGCAGUGCUGUUCAAUUAAAAUAUUUUACAUAGUUG